rnacentral:lncRNA from 1 species
AUGAGCUGGCCAAUCUGUUGUUGGGGUAAACGACCACCCACACCAUUCUGUCUGUUGUGGGGUACGACCCCAACCAUUCUGUUGUUGGGGUACGACCCACACCAUUCUGUUGUUGGGGUACGACCCACACCAUUCUGUUGUUGGGGUACGACCAACACCAUUCUGUUGUUGGGGUACGACCCCACACAUUCUGUUGUUGGGGUACGACCAUACCAUCUGUUGUUGGGGUACGCCCACACCAUUCUGUUUGUUGGGGUACAACACACACAUCUGUUGUUGGGGUACGCCCCACACCAUUCUGUUGUUGGGGUACGACCCACACCAUUCUGUUUUUGGGCGACAAUACCAUCUGUUGUUGGGGUACGACAAUACCAUUCGUGGUUGGGGUACGACAAUACCAUUCUGUUGUUGGGUUACGCCCACACCAUCUUUGUUGGGGUACGACCCACACCAAUCGGUUGUUGGGUACGACCCACACCAUUCUGUUGUUGGGGUACGACCACACCAUUCUGGUGGGGUACGACCCCACCAUCUUCUGUUGUUGGGGUACGACCAUACCAUUCUGUGUUGUUGGGGUACGCCCACACCAUUCUGUUGUUGGGGUACAACCCCACACCAUCUGUUUGGGGACGCCCCCACCAUUCUGUUGUUGGGGUACGACCACACAUUCGUUUUUGGGGUCGACAAUACCAUUCUGUUGUUGGGGUACGACAAUACCAUUCUGUUGUUGGGGUACGCCCACACCAUUCUGUUGUUGGGGUACGACCCACACAUUCUGUUGUUGGGGUACGACCCACACCAUUCUGUUGUUGGGGUACGACAUACCAUUCUGUUUUGGGGACGACCCCCACCAUUCUGUUGUUGGGUACGCCCACACCAUCUGUUGUUGGGGUACGACCCACACCAAUCUGUUGUUGGGGUAGCCCCACACCAUUCUGUUGUUGGUUACGACCCACACUAUUCUGUUGUUGGGGUACGACCACACUAUUCUUGUUGUGGGGUACGCCCCACUAUUCUGUUGUUGGGGUACGACAAUACCAUUCUGUUGUUGGGGUACGACAUACCAUUCUGUUGUUGGGUACGACCCACACCAUCUGUUGUUGGGGUACGACCCAACCAUUCUGUUGUUGGGGUACGACCCACACCAUCUGUGUUGGGGUACGACCCACACUAUUCUGUUGUUGGGGUACGACCCACACCAUUCUGUUGUGGGGGUACGACAAUACCAUUCUGUUGUUGGGGUACGCCCAAACCAUUCUGUUGUUGGGGUACGACCCACACAAUCUGUUGUUGGGGUACGCCCACACCAUUCUGUUGUUGGGGUACGACCCACACUAUUCUGUUGGGGUACGACCCACACCAUUCUGUUGUUGGGUAUACGCCCACACCAUUCUGUUGUUUGUGUACGACCCACACUAUUCUGUUGGGGUACGACCCACACCAUUCUGUUGUUGGGAAACGCCCACACCAUUCUGUUGUUGGGGUACGACCCACACUAUUCUGUUGGGGUACGACCCACACCAUUCUGGUUGGGGGUACGACCCACACCAUUCUGUUGUUGGGGUACGACCCCACCAUUCUGUUGUUGGGGACGACAAUACCAUUCUGUUGUUGGGUACGCCCACACCAUUCUGUGUUGGGGUACGACCCACACUAUUCUGUUGUUGGGGUACGCCCCACCACUAUUCUGUUGUUGGGGUACGCCCAUACCAUUCUGUUGUUGGGGUACGCCCCACACUAUUUUGUUGUUGGGGUAUGACCCACACCAUUCUGUUGUUGGGGUACGACCCACACCAUUCUGUUGUUGGGGUACGACCCACACCAUUCUGUUGUUGGGGUACGACCCACACCAUUUGUUGUUGGGGUACGACCCACACCAUUCUGUUGUGGGGUACGACCCACACCAUUCUGUUGUUGGGGUACGCCCACACCAUUCGUUGUUGGGUAGACCCACACUAUCUGUUGGGGUACGACCCACACCAUUCUGUUGUGGGGUACGCCCCACACUAUUCUUUGUUGGGGUACGCCCCACACUAUUCUGUUGUUGGGGUACGACCCACACCAUUCUGUUUGUGGGGACGACCCACACAUCUGUGUUGGGGUACGACCCACACAUUCUGUGUUGGGGUACGACCCACACCAUUCUGUUGUUGGGGUACGCCCAUACUAUUCUGUUGUUGGGGUACGCCCACACUAUUCUGUGUUGGGGUACGGCCCACACUAUCUGUUGUUGGGGACGGCCCACACUAUUCUGUUGUUGGGGUAGGACCACACUAUUCUGUUGUGGGGUACGCCCCACAUAUUCUGUGUUGGGUACGCCCACACUAUUCGUUGUUGGGGUACGACCCACACUAUUCUGUUGUUGGGGUACGACCCACACUAUCUGUUGUUGGGGUACGACCCACACUAUUCUGUUGUUGGGGUAAAACCCCACACCAUUCCAACACAGAAAAGAUGCUUUUAACAUAUUUAUUUAAAAAAAGAUUGGAAGGACAGUAUUUAUCAGUAAUUAUAAGUAAUUAUAAGUCAUAUUUCAUAGAAAUCUGGAAACACUGGGAACUUACUUUAAUUAAGUUCCAGGCAGUUACAGGGCCUCUCGAGUGGCGUAUCGGUCUAAGGCAUCGCAGUGCGAGCUGUGCGCCUAGAGAUCCUGGUUCUAGUCCAGGUUCUGUCUCAGUGGUAGCUGUGUCAAUAGAGAUCCUGGUUCUAGUCCAGGCUCUGUCUCAGUGGUAGCUGUGUCACUAGAGAUCCUGGUUCUCGUCCAGGUUCUGUCUCAGUGCUUGCUGUGUCACUAAAGAUCCUGGUUCUAGUCCAGGCUCGCAUUCGUCCACGACCGGGAGAACAAUGAGGUGGUGCACAGCAUCGUCCGGGUUAGGGGAGGGUUUGGCCCAGCAUCGUCCGGGUUAGGGGAGGGUUUGGCCGGCAGGGAUGUUGUUGUCCCAUCGUGAACUAGCGACUCCUGUGGCGGGCCGGACACAAUGCACGCUGACACGGUCGCCAGGUGUUAACUGGCACGGUCGCCAGUGUUAACUCCACCACAUUGGUGCGGCUGGCUUCCGGGUUAAGCGGGCAUUGUGUCAAGAAGCAGUACGGCUUGGCUGGGUUGUGUUUUGGAGGACGCACGGCUCUCGACCUUUGCCUCUCCCGAGUCUGUACUGGAGUUGCAGCGAUGGGACAAGACUGUAACUACCAAUUGGAUACAACGAAAUUGUGGAGAAUUUUCUUAUUUUUUUAAACAGAAUAAAAUAAAAUCUAUAUUUUUUAAAGCCAACAAAGGGCAAAGCCCUAAUUCUCACUCAGAACUCUCCCAGCUGAAAAUGUCCACAUUGUCCACAAAAUGUCCACAUUUCCAUUGUGUUUUGAGUACCUGCCCCUCCCUCCCACAGAAGCAUCAUAGCUGUAGCCCCUCCCCCUCAUAAGCAUCAUAGCUGUAGCCCCUCCCUUCAAAAGCAUCAUAGCUGUAGCCCCUCCCCACCAGAGGCAUAAACUACUGUACUGACGUUUUCAAGUUUGAUUCAGAAGAUAGAGAUUUUUAAUUAGAGAAGAAGGGAUUCACUUUUUCAAUGAUACUAUAGUUAUCACGUUUCACAUCGGAUGUAUUAACUACAGAAAGGUAAGAUGUGUUUUUAAUGCUGGUGUCACUCUGAACACACACUGAAGUUCAACGUUCCUCCAUAGAAGCCUCCUCCUCCGUAGGUAUAAUUCUGUGGGUCUAAUUCAGAUAAUGAUACGCUACAACAAGAUGCACAGCUCUUCAAGACUAGCCUGCUCCUCCCUCUCUCGCUCUCUCUGCCCACAAAAUGUAUGUGGCUUCUUGCGCUCUACACUUGUCUGUCCAACACGCAUGUAAAUAACUAGCUUGCCCACUCCCAUAGCAAGCUGCUCUGUCCACACUGAUUGUUGCGGAAUGAAAGGAGUUCUGGUUCUAGAAUUUUGGUUCCAACCCCUGGGGUGUAUUCAUUACGAAACGGGGAGGGACUUAUCAGAAUUUGUCCAAUAGAAAACGGGGAUGGACUUAUCAGAAUUUGUCCAAUAGAAAAUCCGCCCAAAAUUGCAAAAUGUUCCCGAAUCAGCGAAUGUUUUACCCAGUUAGGAAACCUGACAACACAUGAGAGAAAACACACAGGAGAAAACCCUUUCCAAUGUUCCCAGUGUGGAAAGCGUUUUACCCAGUUAGGGAACCUGACAACACAUCAGAGGGAGCACACAGGGGAAGAUAAGACCACAUUUUCCAGGACACCUACAAUAAGAUCAUAAAGGGGGGGCUGUGUUUGACUGAGAAUUUGUUUUUUUUGUUGAUGUCGCAUGAAAUCAUGUUUGUAUGAAAUAUUACCACAAAAAAAUAGGCCUACUUGAGUUUUUUUCCUCUCGAGACGAGACAUUUUAAAACAUUUUGAUUGUGGAUUUGGAUUGAUUGAAUAGAACUAUGAACCCUUUAGAUGUUAAUGAUUUGAUUUGGAAAGUUGUAGAUUUUAUUAAAUAGAUUUGAAUGAAUGUGUAUUUCUUGUUUCUAACUUUGAAAAAAACUUGUCAAUUUAGUCGUUUUGUUUCAUUUAAUUAAUUUGUGUUGUCGUGUCUGUGACUAUCAUUAAAUGUGAAGACUUAUUUAUCAAAUCA